UUACAGAAUAAUUGCUUCGAU
ensembl:piRNA 21ur-446 ncRNA